CUUGGAUUGGCUGAUAUCGAUCUAGAGGAUUUCAGCCGAAAAAGUGUAAGGACAACUCACAGGGGGAAACAACUGGGGGAUGGGGAAGGGAGGGGGAGUAUAGACACUUUAAGAAGUGGGGAGCACUAUAGUGUUAUGAAGUAGUGUUUGCACUACUGUGAGGUAAUAUGAAUCCCUCUGACAAUGAUUAAUUUUAUUUUUUUUAUUCCUCAGGUAUCCAUUCUAACAAAUACGGGGAUUCAGUUCCGCCAUAUUGUGUUAAGCCCACCACUACUUCACAAUGCUCUACAGCAGUACCAUUCCUGCAUAACGCAUGCUCCAAAUGUGCCCCUAAUUCCCUUUUUGUCUCUGCUAGUUGGUAGCAGAUGUCAAAUGACGCAAACACUCAAGCAGGUACUCCAGAUGUUGUGGACUGCAUCUCCCAUAGUGCCAUUACAAGAUUAAUGGUGGCAAAGAACCAGGGAGAAGUAGUCCAUAUCAUUUUGAGUUCUGGAGGCUCAUGCAUUACAAG